GGCGGCGAAACCUUUAACUAAUAGCACGAAAAGUAGUGAUAAGGACGAACUCCUUGUGCUUAUCCAAAAGAAUAGGCUUUUUAGUUAUGUAAUGUAUACUAAGAAUAAGUGAUGGGCAAGACCGGUGCAGCAGCCGCGGUAAUACCGGCGUCACAAGUGGAGAUCACGAUUACUGGGUCUAAAGUGUUCGUAGCUGGUCAUAUAAGUCUCUUGUGAAAGUUCUGUAGCUUAACUCAGAAUUGCAAGAGAUACUGUAUGACUUGAGACCGGAAGAGGU
rnacentral:rRNA from 1 species